GAUGAACGCUGGCGGCGCGCCUAAUACAUGCAAGUCGAGCGAACAGAUGAGGAGCUUGCUCCUCUGACGUUAGCGGCGGACGGGUGAGUAACACGUGGAUAACCUACCUAUAAGACUGGGAUAACUUCGGGAAACCGGAGCUAAUACCGGAUAAUAUAUUGAACCGCAUGGUUCAAUAGUGAAAGACGGUUUUGCUGUCACUUAUAGAUGGAUCCGCGCCGCAUUAGCUAGUUGGUAAGGUAACGGCUUACCAAGGCAACGAUGCGUAGCCGACCUGAGAGGGUGAUCGGCCACACUGGAACUGAGACACGGUCCAGCCUCCUACGGGAGGCAGCAGUAGGGAAUCUUCCGCAAUGGGCGAAAGCCUGACGGAGCAACGCCGCGUGAGUGAUGAAGGUCUUCGGAUCGUAAAACUCUGUUAUUAGGGAAGAACAAAUGUGUAAGUAACUAUGCACGUCUUGACGGUACCUAAUCAGAAAGCCACGGCUAACUACGUG
rnacentral:rRNA from 1 species